AAGGGGCUUCGGCCCUGAGUAGAGUGGCAAACGGGUGAGUAACGCGUGGGUGACCUACCUUCGAGUGGGGGAUAACGUUCCGAAAGGAGCGCUAAUACCGCAUGAAGUUCCGGGUUUGAACAUCUGGAAACCAAAGCCGGGGAUCGCAAGACCUGGCGCUUGGAGAGGGGCCCGCGUCUGAUUAGCUAGUUGGCGGGGUAAUGGCCCACCAAGGCGACGAUCAGUAGCCGGCCUGAGAGGGCGGACGGCCACACUGGGACUGAGACACGGCCCAGACUCCUACGGGAGGCAGCAGUGGGGAAUUGUUCGCAAUGGGCGCAAGCCUGACGACGCAACGCCGCGUGGAGGACGAAGAUUUUCGGA
rnacentral:rRNA from 1 species